rnacentral:tRNA from 1 species
UAGAUGAAUGCUCGCUGGCUUGAGUGCUUAGCUGUUAACUAAGAGUUUGAAGGAUCGAGGCCUUCUCAUCUAG